UACAGAGGUCUCAAGCGUUGUUCGGAUUCAUUGGGCGUAAAGGGUGCGUAGGUGGCGCCGUAAGUGGGGUGUGAAAUCUCGGGGCUUAACUCCGAAACUGCAUUCCAUACUGCGGUGCUCGAGGACUGGAGAGGAGACUGGAAUUUACGGUGUAGCAGUGAAAUGCGUAGAGAUCGACUAGAACACCGGUGGCGAAGGCGGGUCUCUGGACAGUUCCUAACGCUCAUGCACGAAAGCCAGGGGAGCAAACGGG
rnacentral:rRNA from 1 species